rnacentral:sRNA from 1 species
CUUGGCUUCCAUGCAGACGAUGGAGCAGCAUUCACGGGCUGAUGGCAUUUCAGGCUGAUGACGGACGGGGUGACUGUGGGGCCAGGUCCCCCAGGCGAGCUCUCAUGCCAGUCAAAGGUGGCGCACCUGGAGCAGGCCUUGCAGGGCGUCAGUGCGCGUCACCAGCUGGAGAGGCAGAGAAGGAAGGUCCCGCACAACAGCCUGGUGAUUCAUGAUGGCUUGCAGAUGCUUGAUUUCCUGAAGGGGAGAACCUGAUGAGCUUGUCUUCUAGAUCAGUGGUCCCCAACCUUUUUGGCAUCAGGGACCAGCUUCCUGGAAGACCAGCUCCAUCUCUAGAGAAGCGGCCCAUGCUGUUGAUGACGUGAGUCUACAAGUUUCCUCACAAAUUGUAUUCAGAGAGCAGCUUCCUGCUUGGAAACAGUUCUGGUGAAAUGUGAUCGUCCUGGCCACCCUCUGAUUAAUAAGACAUAUCAUUUUGAAAGAUAUACUGGCCUUCCCAGGUGACAUGGACCUCA